GCUAGCGGCAGGCCUAACACAUGCAAGUCGAACGGUAACAUAAAGUGCUUGCACUUUGAUGACGAGUGGCGCACGGGUGCGUAACGCGUAUAGAACCUACCCUGUACAGGGGGAUAGCCCAGAGAAAUUUGGAUUAAUACCCCGUAGUAACUUGAUAUGGCAUCAUAUUAAGUUUAAAGUUUUCGGACGGUACGGGAUGGCUAUGCGUCCUAUUAGUUAGAUGGUGAGGUAACGGCUCACCAUGGCAGCGAUAGGUAGGGGCCCUGAGAGGGGGAUCCCCCACACUGGUACUGAGACACGGACCAGACUCCUACGGGAGGCAGCAGUGAGGAAUAUUGGACAAUGGGCUAAAGCCUGAUCCAGCCAUGCCGCGUGCAGGAAGACGGCCCUAUGGGUUGUAAACUGCUUUUAUACGGGAAGAAUAAGGGACACGUGUGUCCUGGUGACGGUACCGUAAGAAUAAGGACCGGCUAACUCCGUGCCAGCAGCCGCGGUAAUACGGAGGGUCCGAGCGUUAUCCGGAAUUAUUGGGUUUAAAGGGUCCGCAGGCGGGCGAUUAAGUCAGGGGUGAAAUGGUGCGGCUCAACCGUAGCACUGCCCUUGAUACUGGUUGUCUUGAGUCAUAGUGAAGUGGCCGGAAUAUGUAGUG
rnacentral:rRNA from 1 species